CAGAGGCCUGGAGAUGACGCAUAUGUUUGCAACAGGGGAUCUCAGGAGGAGAGGCCCUGCAGGCACCUGGCUACCUGGGCCUGAAGAGGAGCAGGGGAGAUGAGUUUUGUGGGAGUUGACAGCGGCCAGGUGCGGUGGCUCAAUUUCCUGACCUGCUCCAUGGAAGGUGACCUAAUGGUGGUGACUGCGGGAGGAGCAGCAGCAAUAGCAGGAGUGGUACUCAAGUUCUGGAUGGCUAUCAUAAUGGAAAUAAAUCUUAGUCCACACACUCUUCAUUAACCUGACAAGAACUUAGGACUGCAGGACAAGAACUCGAGACCCACACAAUGAGUCCUAAUCAGUUGGCACACAUUAUCUCAUUUCAUCCUCUCAACAGCCCUAUAGUGUAUGUGCUGUUAUUGUUCAUUCAUACUUUGAUAAUGAACAAACUGCGACUCAGAGAAGUAGAGUAACUUGCCCAAAGUCAACAGCUGGUCAAAGCUGUAUCCUUUUUCCAGGCCCUGGCAAUCUAGGGCAUGGAUAGUAAUGACAAAAGACAGCUGGGACAAUAGUCAGCAAUGUAUGGACUGGCCUUUCCUCAGCACUGCCUUCCUCAUUUCUCAGCACCACCAGGCUCGACCCAGCACAGCUCAUCCACCCACCCCAAUGACAGAAUGCAGCCAGAACUGUGGUCAAUAUGGAGUGGCACCUUUGAGAGAGGGCCUCUGAGCAAGUUCCUGUGCCUGUUUCUUUCAACGAGGAUAACUACUUCCACCUGCCUUUGUAAUUUGUUCCUGGGACAAAGAAAGCCUCUUGAGGAGGCUGGCCUGCCCUGCAUAUGUUGGAUAAACGCUUGAAAUAUGGACCUGUCCCCAUCUCUCGCCUUUCCCCGGAAUUCAGGACUGAAUGGAUGCUGCCUGCAUUUUGGGGAGUGGGAGUUUUGCUUUUCCUUUGCUUUGCUACUUACUCACUCUGAUGAACAAGGAGGAGACUGACAGCUUCACAGUCCUGGAUCAUUUCCUGCCCUGUUCUCCCAUCCAGCUCAUGGAAGUCAGCAACUCCAUCCACUCAUUGCACAGAGACCAGAAAGGGGAAGGGAUUUUCUCACUGUCUCACAGCAACUAAUGGCCAAGCUGUGGUGGGCGUCUUGGUGGUCUGAUUCCAAUUCAAGUUGGAGUGAGAGAGUGAGAAGAUUAUGGGCUGUGGCCUCAAGCCAACCAGGGUCUAAACCCAGCAUUGCCUCUGGCUUACUUGUGUCUCCUCUGCUUCCUCAUUCUUAGAAUGGAAAUCAUCAUCAUCAUCUCAUAGAAGUGUUAUGGGCAACAGACAGGAUAAUGUACAUGAAGCUCAUACAGCCUUAGGAUUAAAACCAGUGAAGACCCAAACGACUGUACCUGGGAAUUUAAGAUAAACAGGGUGUGUUACUGCCUGGCACAAACUGGGAAUUUGUGCAAAGGUAAGAUACCAAGCAGGACAGUAUUUCUCCUUGAGGGACCGUGAAAUCUUCUCAUCAUUUAAGCUUAUGAAACGAGGUGGAGCCUCAUUUCUUAAAGGGGGAAAUGCAAAUCAAAACUACCUGGGUAUCAUAUGAAAUUAUACCUUGAUAAAGCUGAUUUUUAAAACAUUACCCUGAGAAUUGUAAAGAUCAACAGUCCUGAUAACAAGCCAGGCAUCGUGGCUCAUGCCUGUAGUUCCAACUACUUGAGAGGCUGAGGUGGGAGGAUUGCUGGAGCCCAGGAGUUUGAGGCCAGCCUGGGCAGCAUAGCAAGACCCUCUUAAAAAAAUAAAAUCCUGGCCAGGCGCGGUGGCUCAUGCCUGUAAUCCCAGCACUUUGGGAGGCCGAGGUGGGCAGAUCACGAGGUCAGGAGAUCGAGACAAUCCUGGCUAACACGGUGAAAUCCCGUCUCUACUAAAAAUACAAAAAAUUAGCCGGGCAUAGUGGCAGGCACCUGUAGUCCCAGCUACUCGGGAGGCCGAGGCAGGAGAAUGGUGUGAACCCAGGAGGCGGAGCUUGCAGUGAGCCAAAAUCGCGCCACUGCACUCCAGCCUGGGUGACAGAGCGAGACUCCGUCUCAAAAAAAAAAAAAAAAUCCUGGCCAGUGGCUCACACCUGUAAUCCCAGCACUUUGGGAGGCCAAGGCAGGAGGAUCACUUGAGGCCAGGAGUUCGAGACUAGUCUGGGUAACAUAGUAAGACCCCCUUCUCUACAAAAAAAAAAAAAUAAUAAUAAAUUAGCAGCCGGGCACAGUGGCUUACACCUGUAAUCCCAGCACUUUGGGAGGUCGAGGCAGGUGGAUCACGAGGUCAGGAGAUGGAGACCAUCAUGGCUAACACGGUGAAAGCCCGUCUCUACUAAAAAUACAAAAAAUUAGCCGGGUGUGGUGGCGGGUGCCUGUAGUUCCAGCUACUCGGGAGGCUGAGGCGGGAGAACGGCGUGAACCCGAGAGGCGGAGCUUGCAGUGAGCCGAGAUCGCGCCACUGCACUCCAUCCUGACUCCAGCGAGACUCUGUCUCAAAAAAAAAAAAAAAAAAAUCUGCCAGCCACGGUGGUGUGUGCCUGUUUUCCCAGCUACUUGGGAGGCUAAGGCAGGAGGAUUACCUGAGCCCAGGUGGUCGAGGCUACAGUGAGCUAUGAUCCCACUCCAGCCUGGGUGACAGAGUAAGACCUCAUCUCAAAAAAAAAAGAAAAAUAAUCCUGAUAACAGAUGGUUAUCAAAGGGCAUAGGGAAGCGGAGGUAUCCAGUGGUGCAAGCUCUGUGGAAAGCAAUUUGGCAAGAUUCAUCAAAAUUAGUAACAUACAUGCCAGUGGGUCCAGCACCGCGGUAUUGCACCAGUGGUAGACAGCUGUGGACUGCUGGCCCUCAGGUGCGGCGACCACACCAAAUUCAAUCAGCUGUGGCCAGGAGCAUGGGGCAGGGGCAAUUUCACUUAAAACAGGAUAGGAUUAGCCAGUCUUGGUGGCAUGUGCCUGUAGUCCCAGCUACUCGGGAGGCUGAGAUGGGAAGGAUCACUUGAGUCUGGGAGGCAGAGGUUGCAGUGAGCGGAGACUGUGCCACUGCACUCCAGCUGGGGCGACAGAGUGAGACUCCAUCUCAAAAACAAAAUAAAAUAAAAGGUAUAAAUGACAUCCAAUAAACUUCACAUAUUUAAGCUGUAGUAUAAGUCUUGUGUUUCAUGUAAUCCCAUGAAACCAUCAUCAGAGUCACAAUAAUGAACUUAUCUAUCACCUUUACAUUUACCUGGAGCCUUUUAUAAAGUCUUUCUCUCUGCCUUCCAGAUAACCACUGAUUUACUUUGCUGUACAAUAGAGUAAUUUCCACUUUCUGGAAUUUUUGGACUGAUGUAAUAAAGUGUUUCCUCUUAUAAUCCCUGGGUGCUCUGUCAUCAUGCUUAUUUUGAUAUUAUCAGUGUAGACAUAUGAAUUGUUCAUUCUUUUUACAUUGCUGAUAAAUACACUCUGCUGUAAAAUGUCAUUGUAUAUU
rnacentral:lncRNA from 10 species